rnacentral:rRNA from 1 species
AUGAAUCAUCUAAGUUGGAACUGCCGGGGAGGGAAUACCCUGACAGUUCGAGAGUUGGCGACAAUCGCACAGUCGCAUUCCCCUGUUUUUGUGUUCUUGUGCGAAACUAAGCAGAAGGAGGGAAAGAUGAAGAGAAUAAGGAGUCGUUUGGGUUUGAAGGGUUUUGUCGGAGUGGAUAGUGAGGGCUUAAGUGGUGGUCUGGCUCUUUAUUGGUAUGAAUCUGUUGAUAUUAUGGUCCUAGACAAAGAAGAAAGAUACAUUGAUGUGUUGGUGCGGACAUGA